rnacentral:rRNA from 1 species
GACGAACGCUGGCGGCGUGCCUAAUACAUGCAAGUCGAGCGAACUUCUAGAAGCUUGCUUCUAGAAGUUAGCGGCGGACGGGUGAGUAACACGUGGGCAACCUGCCUGUAAGACUGGGAUAACUUCGGGAAACCGGAGCUAAUACCGGAUAAUUCUUCUUUACACAUGUAGAGAAGCUAAAAGGCGGCUUCGGCUGUCACUUACAGAUGGGCCCGCGGCGCAUUAGCUAGUUGGUGAGGUAACGGCUCACCAAGGCAACGAUGCGUAGCCGACCUGAGAGGGUGAUCGGCCACACUGGGACUGAGACACGGCCCAGACUCCUACGGGAGGCAGCAGUAGGGAAUCUUCCGCAAUGGACGAAAGUCUGACGGAGCAACGCCGCGUGAGUGAUGAAGGUUUUCGGAUCGUAAAACUCUGUUGUUAGGGAAGAACAAGUAUGAGAGUAACUGCUCAUACCUUGACGGUACCUAACCAGAAAGCCACGGCUAACUACGUGCCAGCCGCCGCAGUAACAC